rnacentral:rRNA from 1 species
UACGUAGGGGGCAAGCGUUAUCCGGAUUUACUGGGUGUAAAGGGAGCGUAGACGGCAAUACAAGUCGGAAGUGAAAUACCCGGGCUCAACCUGGGAACUGCUUUGGAAACUGUAUGGCUGGAGUGCUGGAGAGGUAAGCGGGAUUCCUAGUGUAGCGGUGAAAUGCGUAGAUAUUAGGAGGAACACCAGUGGCGAAGGCGGCUUACUGGACAGUAACUGACGUUGAGGCUCGAAAGCGUGGGGAGCAAACAGG